rnacentral:rRNA from 1 species
AUUGAACGCUGGCGGCAGGCUUAACACACGCAAGUCGAGCGGAGAUGAGGUGCUUGCACCUUAUCUUAGCGGCGGACGGGUGAGUAAUGCUUAGGAAUCUGCCUAUUAGUGGGGGACAACAUUCCGAAAGGAAUGCUAAUACCGCAUACGUCCUACGGGAGAAAGCAGGGGAUCUUCGGACCUUGCGCUAAUAGAUGAGCCUAAGUCGGAUUAGCUAGUUGGUGGGGUAAAGGCCUACCAAGGCGACGAUCUGUAGCGGGUCUGAGAGGAUGAUCCGCCACAUUGGGACUGAGACACGGCCCAGACUCCUACGGGAGGCAGCAGUGGGGAAUAUUGGACAAUGGGGGGAACCCUGAUCCAGCCAUGCCGCGUGUGUGAAGAAGGCCUUAUGGUUGUAAAGCACUUUAAGCGAGGAGGAGGCUACUGAGACUAAUACUCUUGGAUAGUGGACGUUACUCGCAGAAUAAGCACCGGCUAACUCUGUGCCAGCCGCCGCCGUAAAAC